GACGAACGCUGGCGGCGGGCCUAAUACAUGCAAGUAGAACGCCGUUGCGCACGGGUGAGGAACGCGUAGGUAACUGCCUCAUAGCGGGGGAUAACCAAUGGAAACGAUAGAUAAUACCGCAUACUGUGAGAUGGACCUGUUUUUUAUUAGUGAGUUGGUGAGGUAAAGGCUCACCAAGGCGACGAUACAUAGCCGACCUGAGACGGUGUUCUGCCCCACUGGGACUGAGACACGGCCCAGACUCUCACUGGAGGCCGCAGUUGGGAAUCUUCGGCCAUUGACGGCAGUCUGACCGAGCAACUCCGCGUGAGUGCAGAAGUUUUUCGGAUCGUUAAGCUCUGUUGUUAGAGAAGCGUUACCUAACCAGAAAGGGACGGCUAACUCCGUGCCAGCAGCCGCGGUAAUUC
rnacentral:rRNA from 1 species